UACGUAGGGACCAAGCGUUGUUCGGAUUUACUGGGCGUAAAGGGCGCGUAGGCGGCAAUUCAAGUCAGCUGUGAAGUCUCCGGGCUUAACUCGGAACGGUCAGCUGAUACUGCUUUGCUAGAGUGCAGAAGGGGCAGUCGGAAUUCUUGGUGUAGCGGUGAAAUGCGUAGAUAUCUGGAGGAAUACCGGUGGCGAAGGCGGCAUCCUGGACCGAGAUUGACACUGAUGAGCGAAAGCCAGGGGAGCAAACGGG
rnacentral:rRNA from 1 species